rnacentral:rRNA from 1 species
UACGUAGGGGGCAAGCGUUGUCCGGAUUUAUUGGGCGUAAAGAGCGUGUAGGCGGCCUGGUAGGUCUGCUGUGAAAACUCGAGGCUCAACCUCGAGACGUCGGCGGAAACCAUCUGGCUAGAGUCCGGAAGAGGAGAGUGGAAUUCCUGGUGUAGCGGUGAAAUGCGCAGAUAUCAGGAAGAACACCCGUGGCGAAGGCGGCUCUCUGGGACGGUACUGACGCUGAGACGCGAAAGCGUGGGGAGCGAACAGG